rnacentral:rRNA from 1 species
GCCUAGCCGUAAACAAUUAACUUACACCACACCGCCAGGGAAUUACGAGCAAUGCUUAAAACCCAAAGGAUUUGACGGUGUCCCACCCCGCUAGAGGAGCCUGUUCUAUAAUCGAUGAUCCCCGCUUCACCUAACCAUUCCUCGCCCAUCAGUCUGUAUACCUCCGUCGAAAGCUUACCCUGUGAACGUCCGCAGUAGGCUCAAUGAUUCCCCAUCAGUACGUCAGGUCAAGGUGCAGCUUAAGGAAUGGCAAGCAAUGGGCUACAAUUUCUAAUCUAGAACAAACGAAAGACUAUGUGAAACCCUAGUCAUGAAGGUGGAUUUAGUAGUAAAAAGAAACUAGAGUGUUCUUUUUAACCCGGCUCUGGGACGCGUACACACCGCC